CGCUGGCGGCGUGCCUAAUACAUGCAAGUCGAACGGCUUUUCUAUGGAAGCUUGCUUCCGACUGAGAAGAUAGUGGCGAACGGGUGAGUAACACGUGGGUAACCUGCCCAUAAGAGGGGGAUAACAUCCGGAAACGGGUGCUAAUACCGCAUAGUUUCUUGAUUGCAUGAUUGAGAAAGGAAAGACGGCCUUUGUGCUGUCGCUUAUGGAUGGACCCGCGGCGUAUUAGUUAGUUGGUGAGGUAACGGCUCACCAAGACGAUGAUACGUAGCCGACCUGAGAGGGUGAUCGGCCACAUUGGGACUGAGACACGGCCCAAACUCCUACGGGAGGCAGCAGUAGGGAAUCUUCCGCAAUGGACGAAAGUCUGACGGAGCAACGCCGCGUGAGUGAAGAAAAGGUUUUCGGAUCGUAAAAACUCUGUUGUCAGAGAAGAACAAGUUGGAGAGUAACUGCUCCAGCCUUGACGGUAUCUGACCAGAAAGCCACGGCUAACUACGUGCCAGCCGCUGC
rnacentral:rRNA from 1 species